CAGUAGCCACGGGAAUACGUAGGGUGCAAGCGUUAAUCGGAAUUACUGGGCGUAAAGCGUGCGCAGGCGGUUAUAUAAGUCAGAUGUGAAAUCCCCGGGCUCAACCUGGGAACUGCAUUUGAGACUGUAUGGCUAGAGUGUGUCAGAGGGGGGUAGAAUUCCACGUGUAGCAGUGAAAUGCGUAGAUAUGUGGAGGAAUACCGAUGGCGAAGGCAGCCCCCUGGGAUAACACUGACGCUCAUGCACGAAAGCGUGGGGAGCAAACAGGAUUAGAUACCCGCGUAGUCCCUGUCUCUUAUAC
rnacentral:rRNA from 1 species